CAUUAGCCGAGAUGGCUUACAAACAGUGCAGGAUGGAGAAAAGCCACUGAAGCAUUUCUUUAGUUUAACUCCUGAUAAUUAUGGAGGACCAGACAUUAUAGAAAUGCAACAACCUGUACGAAGGUCACACAUCAACCUGAAUAAUACUGGAUUAGAGCAAAGCUAACCUGUUGCCUGGUCCAGGUUUGCAAGCUAUGAGGAGGGGAGGUUCGUGGGAAUUUCCAAAGAGUCCGAGGUGUAAUGGAAGGCUGACGGGCGGGCAGGCAAGCAAGCAGGGAGACGAAACAGAUAUCCAGGCUCUCGAUGGGCGAGGAGGGGCUGGUCAGUUCCAGAUGGGAACACCUGGGCCACGUGUUCCCAGACUACAAAGCUACCGAUGGCACUUCAUUCUACCCUUUGCUCUCCAGCCUGCCUGCCACCAUGCUCUGCAUCUUUUUAGUCUCCCUUUGGUUUUCCUGUGUUGCUUUCUGCACUUACAAAACACACGUUUCCUCACCCUACACAUCAUACAUUGUUGAUCCUACUGAUUCUUUGUGCAUUAAAAUAAUUAGUAAUACUGAAAAACAGCAUGUUUGGCCUUAUGACACACAGGGCUGCCCAUCUUCAAGAUGUCAAGCUCUCUUCUUGUUAAAAGGGAGUUCUUCCUCCCCACUGUCUCCAAGUGUUUGUUAAUAGGGGGCC
ensembl:lncRNA